rnacentral:rRNA from 1 species
AGAGCGAACGCUGGCGGCGUGCUUAACACAUGCAAGUCGAGUGCGCAGUUUUCUGUAGCAAUACAGGAAACCGGCGCACGGCGCACGGGUGCGUAACACGUGGAUAACCUGCCCUCCAAAGGGGGAUAACCCCGCGAAAGCGGGGCUAAUACCGCAUGACAUUCCGAGAACCUCGGUUUUUGGAAUCAAAGCCCGCAAGGGCGUUGGGGGAGGGGUCCGCGGCCGAUUAGCUUGUUGGCGAGGUAAUGGCUCACCAAGGCAAUGAUCGGUAGCCGGUCUGAGAGGAUGGCCGGCCACACUGGAACUGAGACACGGUCCAGACUCCUACGGGAGGCAGCAGUGGGGAAUAUUGCGCAAUGGGCGAAAGCCUGACGCAGCGACGCCGCGUGGGGGAUGAAGCUUCUCGGAGUGUAAACCCCUUUCGACCCGGACGAAACGCCCGCAAGGGCUUGACGGUACGGGUAUAAGAAGCCCCGGCUAACUACGUGCCAGCAGCCGCGGU